rnacentral:misc_RNA from 1 species
UACGGAGGGUGCAAGCGUUGCUCGGAAUUAUUGGGCGUAAAGCGCGUGUAGGCGGCCUGGCAAGUGGGGUGUGAAAGCCCUCGGCUCAACCGAGGAAGUGCGCCCCAAACUACCAGGCUUGAGUGCCGGAGAGGGAAGCGGAAUUCCCGGUGUAGAGGUGAAAUUCGUAGAUAUCGGGAGGAACACCGGUGGCGAAGGCGGCUUCCUGGACGGACACUGACGCUGAGACGCGAAAGCGUGGGGAGCAAACAGG